rnacentral:snRNA from 1 species
AUCGAUUUAAUUAAAUAUUUACA